AUGAGAUCAGAAGAGUUGAAUCAGAGACCGGAGGGAGAGUGGCGUGCGGACACGGUAUUGAUCGGAGGGAAUCCAACGAGACGGAAGGGCGGACCGGCGAGGAGAAAGCCAGGUGGUGGACGGUGCGACGAGAGGGCGGACCGGGCAAGGCAGAGGGUAUCUCUUGGUAGGAUUUCUUCUAACCAACUAGCUUUCCUAGAAGUUUGA